GCCGGCCACCCGGCUGCAGCGGCCCAGACCCCAGUCCUGCGAACCCGGCCCGCAGCUCUCCAGGGCGCCGUCCUCCCCGGGUCGUGGGCCCGAAAACCUCCCCCAGGGGACCAGGGGACCGCCCCUUGGGGGGGGGGGUGGGGGAAGAAGAAGAAGGAGGGGUGUGUGUGUGUGUGUGUGUGCGUGCGCGUGUGUUCCUUCUUUCCACUCCUGAUCUCCUCCAUCCACCCCCGCGGCCCCGAGCCAUCUCAGGAAAAUGCCAGACUCUGCCUCCCCUGUAAAACUCUGGGGGCGCGCCCACGGACCUCCUUUCCGUCCACGCACCUGCCCGCCGGACGUCCAACCGUUUUGUGGAGCGCAAAACUGAGACCUGGAAGCUCUUCCCCCAUCCCAGAGACUAAGGACUUGAAAAGAACGCGAUCACGAUACCCUUACCCCACCUUACCGAAUUGAGAAUAAUUCCGCCUGCAGUGACUGAUGGAGCAGGAACAAGGCACUGCGGAUCUAGCGAGGGCCAGAUACUCCUUACCGGUCCCAGGCCCCUGGAAAACUGUGAUUGAAGCCUGUCCUUCCAGGAAAAUGCGCCCACAGGAUUCCGGGGGUUUGAUUUCACUUCUCACCGGCCACCUGAACCCAACUCUUCUCCACUUUCUGGAAGUCUCGCUUGUCCAGGACGACCGGUCUACCGCCUCCCCGUCCUGACGGGCGGCCACGAUGAAGCUGGACCCACCGGUCCCGGCACAGAAUGUGGCACGUGUCGGACAAGGAUUUUUGAACUGAGUUUAGAACAGGGAUUCUAACUCUGUUUUUCUGCUCAGGUUUUAAGUGGGCUAAGCACUUAGUUCUCAGAUGAUUUCUAGGUUGCUGGUAACGCACCGUAAGUGUCAGGGAGAAGAGACUUGGCUGGCAGCCCUUUCUCAGAUGUUCCAAGCAAACAUGCAAACGGUUCUCAAACCUUAGCCUGGUCUCAAUGCCCGUCUUCCCUGAAAGCUGUUUUCGCUUUAUAACCACAGGACGUUUCAAAUCAAAUUCCAGAAAAUGCCUCGCAAUUAAAAUUUUACACUGCCUGUCGCUACGUGCCAGCUUUGCUACUGCUUUUCGUCACUGCCCAUUAUAAAUAAUGACCCUGGCAUGCGUUUUGUUACUAGAGCCAUUAACCCAACUAACCAUUCCGCUCACAUGAAACAAGCCGUGCAUCUGCUAAGGUGACUUGGUGGGUAGAUUUCUUUUUCCUUUUGUUUUUUGUUCUUUGUUUUGUUUUUUUUUUUUCCUUCUGCAGAACCCGAGGACACACAAUAAAAUGAGCAAAUGGAAAUUUCAGGGAAAUGUACAUCAGAGCUACCGAUCCUUCAUGGGGUAUCUACGUAUGGCUUAUAGCACGAAACGUUUUUGUCCACUCUUGGGGCUGCCGUGUUGACAAAAUGAGAUUGCUUUUGCCCAGGCGUGUCCCACCUUAAUCUCCUUUUAUCUGCAGAUAAAAGGAAUUACCUUCUCUUCCCGGGGAGCCCAUGAUGGAGUAGAGAGCAGGUGGGGUUUGGUUUCACACAGACUAGGGUGUUGGCUUACAGCUCUGACAUUCAUUAACUGAGCAAUUAGAAGCUUCAGAUCUUUGAGCCUCAUUUCCCUUGUCUGUAAAAUGGGAAUAAUAAUGCAGAUAAUAAUAUACCUCUCAGCGCCGUGAGAAAAGCUCACCACAGGCUGGCCAGUGGCCAUGGUAUGGCCUCACUAAAAAAGUCACUAGAUAGUGAUGAAUAGCCCCAAUCAAGUAAUUUAAAAAAUAACUUUAUUCCAAGAAAUGAGUACCCCCAAAGUCCAGACAGUGGGUGUGGCAGACAGAAUAACAGUCCCCAGAGAUAUUCAUAUCCUAAUCCCUUGAAUUUGUGAAUAUAUUAUAUUUACAGACGUGGGUAAGUUAAGGGUCUGGGGACGGAGCGAUCGCCCUGGGUUAUCCAGGUGGACACCAUGUCACCACAAGAGUCCUUUUAAUCCGGGGGUCAGAAUCAGGGAAGGGGAUGUGAGGACAGAAGCAGAGGUUGGAGUGAUGUGGAGCCACGGGCACAGGGCUGCCACCAGCGUCUAGGAGCUGGAAAUCCAUCGUCUCCUAGAGACUCCAGAAGGAAUGCAGCCCUGUCAACAGCUUGAUUUUAGCCUGUGAGAUGCAUUUUUAGACCUUUGAUGGCCAGACCUAUACAAUAAUAAAUUGGUGUUGUUUUAAGCCA